CGGCCCAGUAAGUCCUCCGUUAAAUCCAACGGCUCAACCGUUGGGCUGCGGGGGAUACUGCUGGGCUAGGGGACGGGAGAGGCGAGGGGUAUUCCCGGGGUAGGGGUAAAAUCCACUGAUCCCGGGAGGACCACCAGUGGCGAAGGCGGCCGCCCAGAACACGCCCGACGGUGAGGGGCGAAAGCUGGGGGAGCAAACGGGAUUAGAUACCCCGGUAGUCCCAGCCGUAAACGAUGUAGGCUCGGUGUUGGGCUGCCUCAGUGGCAGCCCAGUGCCGCAGGGAAGCCGUUAAGCCUACCGCCUGGGGA
rnacentral:rRNA from 1 species